rnacentral:rRNA from 2 species
UGUGAACGUUACCAAACUGUUGCCUCGGCGGGGUCACGCCCCGGGUGCGUCGCAGCCCCGGAACCAGGCGCCCGCCGGAGGAACCAACCAAACUCUUUCUGUAGUCCCCUCGCGGACGUAUUUCUUACAGCUCUGAGCAAAAAUUCAAAAUGAAUCAAAACUUUCAACAACGGAUCUCUUGGUUCUGGCAUCGAUGAAGAACGCAGCGAAAUGCGAUAAGUAAUGUGAAUUGCAGAAUUCAGUGAAUCAUCGAAUCUUUGAACGCACAUUGCGCCCGCCAGUAUUCUGGCGGGCAUGCCUGUCCGAGCGUCAUUUCAACCCUCGAACCCCUCCGGGGGAUCGGCGUUGGGGAUCGGGACCCCUCACACGGGUGCCGGCCCCGAAAUACAGUGGCGGUCUCGCCGCAGCCUCUCCUGCGCAGUAGUUUGCACAACUCGCACCGGGAGCGCGGCGCGUCCACGUCCGUAAAACACCCAACUUUCUGAAAUGUUGACCUCGGAUCAGGUAGGAAUACCCGCUGAACUUAAGCAUAUCAA